UCCCUCGUGAGAGGGCAGUCUCGCCUGGAACAUUUAACAGACAACGGGGGUUGCGUUCGUUACCCCACUGAAGGGAACAGUUCAAACCACGAACUGACGACGACCAUGCAUCACCUGUGCUACACCCUCGAAGGCUCCGUCCCUUUCGGGUCGGAUGCAGUAGCAUUUCUAACCUUGGUAAGGUUCUUCGUUUGUCGACGAAUUAAGCCACAUAAUCCACUACUUGUGCGAGUCCCCGUCUAUUCCUUUGAGUUUUAAUCUUGCGAUCGUACUACCCAGGCGGCUCGCUUACCGCGUUAGCUUAGCCCCAGAGAGGGUCGAUACUCCCUAGAGCGAGCGAGCAACGUUUAGGGCCAGGACUAC
rnacentral:misc_RNA from 1 species